GGCUGCUGUCCAUGAGCUGAUGUCCACUCAGAUGCUCAAUUAUUCCUCUCACGUGGCUGCAUUUCUGGGAGCUCUGGGUCCCUGAGAUAGUGUGGUCCCUAAAGAGCACAUCUCGAAAGGAGACUAGAACCUGUGAAGACAAUAACCUCAAAAGGAGCAGUCAGCCGGCACUGGUUUCCGGUUUCCACUGUUAGAAACUAAGCACCUUGAUGGGCAGGGCUGGAGAGUGAUGCGAUCGGAGGCACCAUUUCAGAAGAUAACUGGCUGAUAAGUGGAAAGUUGCUUAAAAAGUGCAUCAGCCAAGGGCCAAUCAGAAACAUCACGGGCCAGACCCAGCAGGAGGCCGGCUAGCUGCCAGGGUGUCCAGACAUUUGGUCCAACAUUAUUCCGGAUGCUUCCAUGAAGAUGUUUCUGGAUGAGAUUAACAUCUGAUUCCACAGCGUGAGUAAAACAAAUUGCUCUCCCUACAGUGGGUGGGACCUCAUCUAAUCUGUUGGAGGCCUGAAUAGAACAAAAGGGCUGACUUUUCUUCAACCAAGUCCUGUGCCUGACUGCCUUCGAGAUGGGACGCUGGGCUUUUUCCUGCAUUUGGACUUGAUCUGAAAGAUGGGCUGUCUUGUGUCUUGAGCCUGCUGGCUUUUGGACCAGAAAUACACCAUUGAUUUCCCUGGGUCUCCAGCCUGCUGAUCCGGGGCCUUGUCAGCCUCUGUGCUCAUGUGAACCUAUCCUUAGAA